CAAGUACUCCCUCCGUUCGGUAUUACUUGUCGUAGAAAUGGAUGUAUCUAGACGUAUUUUAGUUCUAGAUACAUCCAUUUCCGAGACAAGUAAUUCCGAACGGAGGGAGUAGCUA
rfam:Triticum urartu cultivar G1812 contig245387, whole genome shotgun sequence.